rnacentral:rRNA from 1 species
UGGGGAAUAUUGCACAAUGGGGGAAACCCUGAUGCAGCGACGCCGCGUGAACGAAGAAGGUAUUCGUAUCGUAAAGUUCUGUCCUAUGGGAAGAUAAUGACAGUACCAUAGAAGAAAGCUCCGGCUAAAUACGUGCCAGCAGCCGCGGUAAUCCGUAUGGAGCGAGCGUUGUCCGGAAUUAUUGGGCGUAAAGGGUACGCAGGCGGUUUAAUAAGUCGAAUGUUAAAGAUCGGGGCUCAACCCCGUAAAGCAUUGGAAACUGAUAAACUUGAGUAGUGGAGAGGAAAGUGGAAUUCCUAGUGUAGUGGUGAAAUACGUAGAUAUUAGGAGGAAUACCAGUAGCGAAGGCGACUUUCUGGACACAAACUGACGCUGAGGUACGAAAGCGUGGGGAGCAAACAGG